UUAAAGACAAUGAGUUCCACCGUAUCAAGGCUUGUAGGUUACAUUGUAUGUUAACAAACUGGAAUUUAAAUAAAAACCUAAAAAAAUGCUUAAAAAAGAGUUGCAUGUAUGGUUGGCAUUAGAUACUCACGAAAUAUUUUGGGUUGCCCUCUCUAGUGGGCACAUCGUAGGGCUGUGUUUUUCUACCCCCUUGAACUAAAUUGUGACCACAUGACUUGUUUUGGCCAAUGAAAUGUGAGCAGAGUGACUUGCAUUCCUUCUGGGUGGGAUGUUUAAGAGCCAGUGCAGGAGUGCCCUGCUUCCUGCUUUAGCAACCAUUGAAGGACAGAAAUAGAACCUCCAUCAGCCUGGGCCCCUGACUGAGGACAGUGCAGACUGGAGGUCCUAGUAUAUUUCUGCAGCAGGCAAGAAAUCCUGAGUGAGGAAGCUCAGACUUCACCAACCUCCCGGUUCUGAAAUUACUCAUCCAGACAUGAAACAAAAUUGAAAAAUCAGAGAGAUCUAGUUUGAAGGAAAAAGAAUGGUUGAUGGCCUUGGGAACCAAAGUUCUGAUAAGGGGAAGGCAAUUAGCCAAGGAUGCAGUGGGUCGGUGCUGGGAGCAGACCUGAAGCCUGGUAUCUUAAUGGUCAGUCCAGCGGUCCAUCCUCUAUGAGCACUGCGGGGCUCCAAGAUGUAGCUACGAAGUCACAGAGAACAGCUCUCUGUUUGAAGGCAGUUGAAAUUGCCCCUCCCCAGUCAUGGAAACAAGAAUCAUGCAGAAGUCUGGUCUUUCAAAGCAGAGGCCCUGACCCACCUGAGCACGGAGGAGGAUCCGCCUUUGUUAAUCUGGGGGCUUUUUUAGGCUACAUUGUUUCUGUUAUCACCUGUCAGUUCCUCUUUGGGAAGUCUGGCAUCCGUUGUUCCUGGGACUUGGGCCCCAUCUGGAGGAGGCUCUGGACGGUGAGCAGGCAGGCCCGUCAAGCCUGUAGAGCUUUUCUUCUGGAUCUUUUCUGCCAGUGACAGGCCUGUGGCGGUUCGGAGCCUGGACCAAGUGCUACCAGCAGUCUGACCACCACGUAGACCCUGCUGCUUUCAUGCUGGCCGGGACAGAUGACCUUGCGAAGACCUUCCAUGCGACCCCACCCCAUGAACCACCUGAUAAAAGAGAAAACUUCCAAGCUCUUUCCUCAAGUUUUGGGUUCAUCAGUUGGGCGGUGAUUGAGUAGUAGAGCUCUAGUGGUUCCUAGGAUCAGGGACAGUUGGGAAAUGUCACCUGAGACACAUCUCACCUUGAGCUCCUGUGAAUCUUGUUCCGGCUCUUCUGAUGACAAGCUUUCUUGUACAGAUUGCCAGUGAACCUCCGUGUCUGAAAACCACUCAUCCUGAGCUCCUCUUUUACCCUCGCAGGCAAAUUUGGUCUCUGCCAGCAUCUAUUGAGUGCUUACUGUAUGCAUGCCAGGGCUUGGCUUGGAGGGCACGGCCGUGUAUAAGACAGUCCUAGGAGUCCCAGAUGCUGCCACCCGCAUUGAGAAGGCAGCUCUGCCAAUGGCGCCAUGGGAUCAGAGCUAACGAAUUCUUCCCUGCCCACUACAUACCUGCCCGAAGCUGAGUGCUGAAGAUUUGGAGGCCUAGAUAGGGAGACGGGAAGAUUAGGAUUUGGAAUUUGGCACUCCAGAGAGAAGGAAUGACACACACAAAAGCCCCAAGGGGCCUGGAGUAGAGGGUGCAUGUCAUGGAGUUAGGACAGAGGGAGCCACUGCUCAUAAGACCUUGACCCUUUUGGCCCAUCCCAACCUCUCUGAAUGUGUAGACUCUUCCGUAACUCUGAGCAGUCCCUGUCCCUGGGACCCAGGAUGCCCUUCUUUCCUCUUCUAUCUGGUAAGGACUCCAUGCGGGGCAAGUUUCGAGUGAAUUAAAGUUAAGGUGGGCUGAGAAAGGCAGGCUAGAUCCAACCAGUGGAAGGUCUCGUUGGCCAUGUUUAGGAUUUUGAACUUGAUUCGGAGGGUGAUGGGGAAUUCAUGAAUGGCGUGAAGCUGCUGAGGGGCAAGACAGUGGGGUGAUGGUGUCCUUGAACAGUGGCUCUGGCUGCUUCGUGUUGGUGGGUUGGGAGGAUGAGACUGGAUGCAGAGAGGGGCUGGCUGAAAUGUGAGUCAGUCUUGUGGUAGGGCAGAGAAGCAACAGGUUCGCUCCGCCUCUGCCUGGUGAGCCCAUCCCUGCCUGCAGCCUCCUGAACCUGUGUCUGGAGGGGCUGAGAGUCUGGGGACCUUAGUGCUCCUGUGUAGCUCCAGGGCACGUGGCUUUUCUGGGGCGUCAGAGAACUACGCUGCUGGAAGGAGGAGGUCAAGCCUGGAGCAUAUCUUAGUCAGGAUCGAUGUCCAGACCUUGACACGAACUACCCUGUCCCCAGUGGGCUGGUGCGACCUCCCCAUGUGGGCUGACCGUGGGCUCCUGUGGGAGGGGCUGUGGUAUCUUGGCACCCCACUGCUCAACAUGAGGCUGGACGCAGGUUAGAGACAAAUCAUCCGUGGUGGGUACGUGGCACACAUCACUUAGUCUUGUUUUGUAUAUAUUUUUUUUAAUUAAAAGAAACAGCUGUUUGGCAGAUCCCACUUAGGCAGACAGAGUGAUGUGGUCCUUGCAUUAAAUCCAGGGCAUCCCAAGCACGUAGGUCUACUUGCCAAUAGUCUGGACCGUGCGCUGGUGUUUGGGCCCGCGGGUGAAGCAGCUGGCUGUCCGUGCUGUGUUGCCGACCAGGUGUCUGUAAUAGUUGGCCUGGAAUCAAGGCUGGGGUGGUAUGUUAGUUCAAGACUUGCAAGUAGGAAAUAAAGGAAAGGAAAUGAUCUCUUGAGUGGGCCAGGUCCUAUUCUAGAUGUUUUCACAUCCAUUAACUCAUGUAAUUCUCACUCGGCUCGGCGAGGUGGGAAUAAUCACCCCAAUUUCACAGAUGGGGAAACAGAACUGGAGAGGGAGAGUGACGAGUUCGUGGUCACCUGGGUGGUAAGCGGAGGCGUGGGGAAUGUGGGCAGGUGUGAGGCCUCACCCCAAAGAGGGGUGUUACACAAAAUACAGCAUGUCCAGGGAGAGGAACCAGAUGGCGGGAGACCAGUAAUCAUAUAGGAAGCAGCCGUGUGUAAGGAAUCGAGAAUGUUAACCUAGAGCACACCAGCGUCCAAAUGAGUCCCCUGGAAGUGGGUCCAGGCUCUUCCCAUGUGUUCCCAGAGAGGAGCCAACUGCGAAGGGAAGAGAUUUACAGAGUGGGAGUGUUGGUUCAGCUCAAGGGAAAUCUUUCUAACCACCAGCGUCUCAAGCUGAAAACGAUUCCUUCCUGAAGUCCUGCUUUUGGACACAGCCGUAUUAUUGGAUAAUGCAUGUUUUCACGGAACAAAACGGCGGGAUCACGAGGUUACUCUUGAAAACUACUCAUGGUU